rnacentral:sRNA from 1 species
UCAUCCAGCGUCUCCAAGAGACCCUCC